AACGAACGCUGGCGGCAUGCCUAACACAUGCAAGUCGAACGAGACCUUCGGGUCUAGUGGCGCACGGGUGCGUAACGCGUGGGAACCUGCCCUUAGGUUCGGAAUAACUCCCCGAAAGGGGUGCUAAUACCGGAUAAUGUCUUCGGACCAAAGAUUUAUCGCCUUUGGAUGGGCCCGCGUUGGAUUAGCUAGUUGGUAGGGUAAAAGCCUACCAAGGCGACGAUCCAUAGCUGGUCUGAGAGGAUGAUCAGCCACACUGGGACUGAGGCACGGCCCAGACUCCUACGGGAGGCAGCAGUGGGGAAUAUUGGACAAUGGGCGAAAGCCUGAUCCAGCAAUGCCGCGUGAGUGAUGAAUGCCUUAGGGUUGUAAAUCUCUUUGACCCGGGAUGAGAAUGACAGUACCGGGAGAAUAAGCACCGGCUAACUCCGUG
rnacentral:rRNA from 1 species